CGCGGCCUAUCAGCUUGUUGGUGAGGUAACGGCUCACCAAGGCUCCGACGGGUAGCUGGUCUGAGAGGACGAUCAGCCACACUGGGACUGAGACACGGCCCAGACUCCUACGGGAGGCAGCAGCAGGGAAUAUUGCACAAUGGGCGAAAGCCUGAUGCAGCGACGCCGCGUGAGGGAUGAAUGCCUUCGGGUUGUAAACCUCUUUCAGGAGGGAAGAAGCGAAAGUGACGGUACCUCCAGAAGAAGACCCGGCCAACUACGUGCCAGCAGCCGCGGUAAUACGUAGGGGUCAAGCGUUGUCCGGAUUCAUUGGGCGUAAAGAGCUCGUAGGCGGCUCAGUAAGUCGGUCGUGAAAGCCCGGGGCUCAACCCCGGGACGCCGAUCGAAACUGCUGUGGCUAGGGUUCGGUAGAGGAGAGUGGAAUUCCCGGUGUAGCGGUGAAAUGCGCAGAUAUCGGGAGGAACACCAGUAGCGAAGGCGGCUCUCUGGGCCGACACCGACGCUGAGGAGCGAAAGCUAGGGGAGCAAACAGGAUUAGAUACCCUGGUAGUCCUAGCCGUAAACGUUGGGCACUAGGUGUGGCGGACUCAUUGACGUCUGCCGUGCCGUAGCUAACGCAUUAAGUGCCCCGCCUGGGGAGUACGG
rnacentral:rRNA from 1 species